AGCAGCCGCGGUAAUUCCAGCUCCAAUAGCGUAUAUUAAAGUUGUUGCAGUUAAAAAGCUCGUAGUUGAAUUUCGGGGUUCAUCCGUUGGUCGGGCUUUUUGGUCUGUACUGGCGUGAUGGAUUCCUACCUUCUGAAUAACCGGCAUGCCAUUAAUUUGGUGCGCCGGGGAAGCAGGACUGUUACCUUGAAAAAAUUAGAGUGCUUAAAGCAGGCUUAUGCCCGAAUACAUUAGCAUGGAAUAAUGAAAUAGGACGGCAUGGUUCUAUUUUGUUGGUUUCUAGGAUCACCGUAAUGAUUAAUAGGGAUAGUUGGGGGCAUUAGUAUUCAAUUGUCAGAGGUGAAAUUCUUGGAUUUAUUGAAGACUAACUUCUGCGAAAGCAUUUGCCAAGGAUGUUUUCAUUAAUCAAGAACGAAAGUUAGGGGAUCGAAGACGAUCAGAUACCGUCGUAGUCUUAACCAUAAACUAUGCCGACUAGGGAUCGGACGAUGUUAAUUUUUUAAUGACUCGUUCGGCGCCU
rnacentral:rRNA from 1 species